GACGGGGGAUGCAAGCGGUAUCCGGAAUCACUGGGCGUAAAGCGUCUGUAGGUGGUGAUGCAAGUCACUGGUGCAAAACUCUGGCUCAACCGGCGGAAAGCCAGUGAAACUGCAUGACUAGAGUGUGGGAGAGGUAGAAGGAAUUCCCUGAGUAGCGGUGAAAUGCGUAGAUACAGGGAAGAACACCGGAGGCGAAAGCGUUCUACUGGAACACAACUGACACUGAGAGACGAAAGCUAGGGGAGCGAAUAGG
rnacentral:rRNA from 1 species